UACGAACUGUGCAAACGUUAUUCGGAAUCACUGGGCUUACAGGGUGCGUAGGCGGCUUGUUAAGUAGGGUGUGAAAGCCCCCGGCUCAACCGGGGAAUUGCGCCCUAAACUGGCGAGCUGGAGUGAGAUAGGGGUGUGUGGAACUUCCGGUGGAGCGGUGAAAUGUGUUGAUAUUGGAAGGAACACCGGAGGCGAAAGCGGUGUACUGGGGCUGGUCUGACGCUGAGGCACGAAAGCCAGGGGAGCGAACGGG
rnacentral:rRNA from 1 species